CUUGCUUUAGCAUCAACUGAAGCUCAUUUUUAGUUAUUUUAUUACAUUUAACCUUUUCCCCUCCCACUCCUACUUUCUUCACUCCUCCACAGAAGUUAUCAGAGAAGAACUCUUCCAUACACACCUUGGGUGCAAAUCUCCACACUAAAGUUCUCUGCCUUGAAGCUGGAGCCAGUGGAAGUCAGUUCCCAACAGAUUUACUGUUCCCUGCUGCAAACAUUCUGUCUGAACCUGCUAAGCAACGGCUGCAGAGGUGACAUUCAGUCUGGAGCUGGUCAAAUAUCCAGGGAAGUCAUGUGAAACCAGGCUCCUUCUACCUCCUGCUCUUUCAUCCUGGCAUGUGGCUUGCCUAAUGAUCUCCAAGUGACUCCUCCGCCCCCAGCACAAUCGAUGCUUGAUGGUUGUUAAACCGAGCCGGACAAGCUGUGUAGCAGUUCCUGCGCUAAUUUAGAUUUGGUUUGAGAGUGUCUCCCCCGGGUAUUGAAAUUUAAGAUCCCCUCUGAGGCAUCAUAGUAGUAGAAGUUUGAGCCAGGUGUAGGGGCUGCAAACCUGUAAUUCUAGCAUUUGGGGGAUGAAGACAAGAUAAUCAAGAAUUCAGGGCCAAACUCAGCUACAUAAAAAGUUUGAGGCCGGUCUUGGCUAUGUGAUAACCUAUCUCAAAAAAUAAAGUAGAGUAAAAAUUUAAUCUUACUAUGAUGUUUAGCACCAGGCCAUUCAUCAGGUGCUAAGGAUUUGGGUUAGACAUGAUCAUAUUACAGACAAAAAUUGAAAUAGAUACAAAUGCUCAGUCUCCUGCUGUGUGAUGCCCUAUUCUGUCUUAUUACACAUCAUAUGGCAUAGACUCUUGACUUCCAGCAAUGUGAAACUUUCUUUCUGUAUGAAGUCUCUCAGCCUAGGGUAUCGCAGUGAUGCAGAGAGACUGGCAGGGAUCCCUCUUCAGAAAGAAGAGCAGUAGAGAGCACAGGGUAAAGACAGCACCAGAGUAAAUGUCUGGCAUUGCACUACAGGGAAACUCGGGAUUGUUGCACUUUCUCCUGAGAUGCUGUCCCUAGGACACCCACUAUGACAUCCUCAAGUCCUGCUCCCACAUCAUCUUCCUGACCACUUGUCAUCCAUCACUACUCAUGAAAUAGAUACUGUAGAAGAUUAUUUACCUUGGGGUCAACACACAGCC